rnacentral:rRNA from 1 species
UACGUAGGGUGCAAGCGUUAAUCGGAAUUACUGGGCGUAAAGCGUACGCAGGCGGCUAUGUAAGACAGGUGUGAAAUCCCCGGGCUUAACCUGGGAACUGCAUUUGUGACUGCAUAGCUAGAGUCUGUCAGAGGGGGGUGGAAUUCCAGGUGUAGCGGUGAAAUGCGUAGAUAUCUGGAGGAACACCGGUGGCGAAGGCGGCAUCCUGGACCGGCAUUGACGCUGAGGCGCGAAAGCCAGGGGAGCAAACGGG